rnacentral:ncRNA from 1 species
UAGGUUCGCCGGACUGGCGUUCUCCAGGCGACAACAGCUGCUGAAUGCGCAAGCGGCGCACGGGCUGGGUGGAUUCCCUAUCCAGGCCGGUCGGGGCUAAAAGGGAGGAUCGAGCUGAGUCCUUAAGAUCGGUACCACGGGUUGUGCAGUACCAAGGCUGCACAUUGAGGUCGGCCCCCUAGUGGGAGUAUCGUGGUGGCUGUGGUUGAUACCCAAACGUUACGCGGGGAGAGCCGCUAGGCUCCUCGUGGAGUUGCGCUCUCAACCGGGUGCCGAGACCCAUAGAUCGGAAGACGUGUUAGAUACACCUCGCCCCUCACCAAGGGGGAUUGUAUGCCCGACCAGGAUACUUUCAAUUGGUACCAGAAGAGUCGCUAUGUACAUAGCUAUAGCUUCUUUUUAGGGGCGCUAACUGGCGCAUUGUACCAGGUUCCUGCGUAUGUAGCGGUGGUGCGUGAUGGCGUGAUAUAUGUAAAUAUAUCGCACUAAUCGAGGCUAAGCUGCAAAUAAACAUUAGACGCCGUGGUUGAAAUCCCUCCCUGAGGAACCGCCACGUAAAAUAAAGCUGAGAGAUCAGAUUCAUUCUGUCCCUAUCUACUAUCUAGCGAAACCACAGCCAAGGGAACGGGCUUGGAAUAAUUAGCGGGGAAAGAAGACCCUUUUGAGCUUGACUCUAAUCUGGCAGUGUAAGGAGACAUAAGAGGUGUAGCAUAAGUGGGAGAUAUAAGAUUUCGAUUUGGUAUCGACAAUGAAAUACCACUACUCUUAUUGUUUCCUUACUUACUUGAUUAAAUGGAACGUGUAUCAUUUCCUAUCCAUUAUACGGAUAUGUUUAUUAUAUCUUAUGGUAUUGGGUUUUGAUGCAAGCUUCUUGAUCAAAGUAUCACGAGUUUGUUAUAUAAUCGCAAACAAAUUCUUUAAUGAGAAAAUGCAUUUAUGUAUUUUCAAUUUGAAAAUUUGGUAUAACUCCAAUUACUCAGGUAUGAUCCAAUUCAAGGACAUUGCCAGGUAGGGAGUUUGACUGGGGCGGUACAUCUCUCAAAUAAUAACGGAGGGUUCUCAAGGCCAGCUCAGUGCGGACAGAAACCACACAUAGAGCAAAAGGGCAAAUGCUGACUUGAUCUCGGUGUUCAGUACACACAGGGACAGCAAAAGCUCGGCCUAUCGAUCCUUUUGGUUUAAAGAGUUUUACAGAGUGUCAGAAAGUACAUAGGGAUAACUGGCUUGUGGCGGCCAAGCGUUCAUAGCGACGUCGCUUUUUGAUC